rnacentral:rRNA from 1 species
CCUACGGGUGGCAGCAGUGAGGACUAUUGGUCAAUGGACGAGAGUCUGAACCAGCCAAGUCGCGUGAAGGAUGACUGCCCUAUGGGUUGUAAACUUCUUUUAUAAAGGAAUAAAACGAGGCACGUGUGCCUUUUUGCAUGUACUUUAUGAAUAAGGCUCGGCUAACUCCGUGCCAGCAGCCGCGGUAAUACGGAGGAUCCGAGCGUUAUCCGGAUUUAUUGGGUUUAAAGGGAGCGUAGAUGGGGUGUUAAGUCAGUUGUGAAAGUUUGCGGCUCAACCGUAGGAGUGCAAUUGAUACUGGCAGUCGUGAGUACAGUUGAGGUAGGCGGAAUUCGUGGUGUAGCGGGGAAAUGCUUAGAUAUCACGAAGAACCCCGAUUGCGAAGGCAGCUUACUAAACUGUGACUGACAUUGAUGCACGAAAGUGUGGGUAUCAAACAGGAUUAGAUACCCGGGUAGUC